GCGGACAUAGCUCAGUUGGGAGAGCGUCAGACUGAAGUUAACUUCAAUCACUUAAUCUGAAGGUCGUGUGUUCAAUCCACACUGGCCGCA
rfam:Glomerella graminicola M1.001 genomic scaffold supercont1.21, whole genome shotgun sequence.